AUCCUGAGGUGUUCGUUAUUUGCCAGACAGUUUUGACCGAACACUUCAAUCGUCGGGAGUCUAGAUUCUUCUUAUGAUGACAUGCCUGUCAUGGGACCUCAGAAGUAAGAAGAUCGGACACCCACCUGCAUCGUGCGGGUUCAAAACGAUAUUACAAAGACGGCACAUUCGGGAUU
rnacentral:other from 1 species